GACGAACCGUGCGAACGUUGUUCGGAUUCACUGGGCUUAAAGGGCGCGUAGGCGGUCGGCCAAGUCUGGGGUGAAAUCUUUCGGCUCAACCGGAAAAGUGCCCCCGAUACUGGUCGUCUAGAGGGAGGUAGGGGCGUGUGGAACUUCCGGUGGAGCGGUGAAAUGCGUAGAUAUCGGAAGGAACGCCGGUGGCGAAAGCGACGUGCUGGACCUCAUCUGACGCUGAGGCGCGAAAGCCAGGGGAGCAAACGGG
rnacentral:rRNA from 1 species